ACGGGUGAGUAACACGUGGGUAACCUGCCUCAUAGAGGGGGAUAGCCUCCCGAAAGGGAGAUUAAUACCGCAUAACAUAUUUUGGUUGCAUGACUGAAAUAUCAAAGGAGUAAUCCGCUAUGAGAUGGACCCGCGGCGCAUUAGCUAGUUGGUGAGGUAAGGGCUCACCAAGGCGACGAUGCGUAGCCGACCUGAGAGGGUGAUCGGCCACAUUGGAACUGAGACACGGUCCAGACUCCUACGGGAGGCAGCAGUGGGGAAUAUUGCGCAAUGGAGGAAACUCUGACGCAGCAACUUUUUUUUAAUGAUGAAGGCCUUGGGGUUGUAAAGUUCUGUCUUCUGGGACGAUAAUGACGGUACCAGAGGAGGAAGCCACGGCUAACUACGUGCCAGCAGCCGCGGUAA
rnacentral:rRNA from 1 species